AUUGUUUUCAUUUGGGUCGUGAAACAUUCUAGUUUGCUUUGAGGGAAGACAGAAUGAAACUUAUCUCUUCAUUAGCGAAAUCAAAGCUCAGCAGCAAACUUCAGUAAAUUCAAACACAAGUCAGUUCUAAGAGAAAAUCUGAUUUCCAAUUAUGGUUAUUUAUUUAUUUACCAACUAGUUCUAGUUUUCUUAAAAUAUACCAGGGAUUUGUAGAUACUCACUAAAGAGCUGAACCAAAAAAAAGGAAAGAGCACUCAAACUGUAAGUUGUUUUUGAAAUGUUCAAUACUAUAUUAAGAAAAGAGGGAGUUCAGAAUAUGGUUUUACAAGUACAGGCAUUCAUCCCAGUUUUCCACAGCGACAUAAAUUAAAUCAGCUCUUCAGUAGUCAUGGGAUCUGAGUCCUAGUUGCUAGUUGUCAAAUAUACAUUUGGAACAAAGUGACACCGCUCUCUUCAUGAAGCCAGAUGGGCUAGAUCUGCAGGAGUAUAAACCUAGAUUUGUUAAGUUACCUGAUACAUCAGUGACAGAUUUCACCUAUUUCAUUUUUAUUCAACUGGCUGAACCACUGAUGAGGAAUUCUUGCUACAGAGUUCAAUAACUGAGUAGUUGGGAGCAGGGUGGCUCGGCCAGAUGUUUCUAAAAUCAGUCCAUGGGGGUGGUAACUCUGUUACUGCAGUUCUGCAUGAAAUAGCUACAGAAGGGAGAGAAGAGAACCAUGCUUUUAUUGACUGUGCAAACUGUGCUCUAAAUAGUAUGAGGAUACAGGAUAAGAUCUGUUAUCUAUAUAUUCUGUGCUGGCAAUUUUUUAUUUUUCUUUCUGUCCAAAUUCUGGGAGAGGAUGAUUUUUAAUGCAAUCAAGAGUGAUCUGCAGAGCAUUGUUAUGUGUGGAAUGGAGGGUACAGAUAGUCUGAUUUUGUGUCCUUACCUACAAAAGAACUCAGAAAAGGGAAGAUGCUUUCUUCCACUGUGGUUUCUGCUUUGUGUCCAAGCAGCAUUUUCUUACUCUCUCCCAGAUUUUUUAAUGAAGACAUAUAUUCUUUAAUAACUGAGGCUUUGCAUCCACGAGGUUGUUCAUAACCACUAAUCCUCAAUGAAGAUCAAAUAAAUAUCUGGAGAAAAGAAAUUAUUUUCCCACCUCAGCUCCUGGUCCUAGAGGACUUCAUCGUUCUCACUGCUGUAACAGGUCAAAAUAACCUUUCUUCAAAAGACUUCCCCACAGACAAAUUUGUGGGGCCUGAUUGGGUGCCUUAGGUGCCUUUAACUCUUCUAAAAGAACCAUUAAGAACCUGAAGGAGAUGAUGCUGGGUAAUUCUUUUGUCAGAGUUCAUGUUACUAACCCCACAGUUGAGUUGUACCAUGUUUAGAAAGCUCACAUCUCACUUUCCAUCAAAUUUAUGACAGUUAACUUAUUCGUAUAAUUUUCUUCCAUGAUUGAAGACGUUUUAGUAGCCCUUUCCUUCUAAUUCCAGGCUAAAGCUCUAGUUUUAUGGUCUGUAUUUAUAGGCACUCAUUUUAGGCAUUUGCCUUUUGCAUAUUGUCUUGAAUAAGCAAUGCAAGGAAAUAAAACGAUAUGAGAGAAUCUCCUGUCAGAGGAAGAGUCCUCUGUUUUCAGUUGUAGGGCUCAGAGGAAGUAAGUCUUACGGGAGCAGUCUGUUCUAAAUGUAAGAUGAUUGUCUGUUGAUGCUUUCCCUUCACAAAAUUAAGCCUGUACUUAUUAAUGAAAAAAAAAAAUGAAAGCAAGGCAAAUGCAAGGUGGUUAAGAACGCAAAACUCUUUUUUUUGCCCAAAAUGACUGCUUCUAAAAUGUGAUUAUGUUGCUGCUAUCACACUGUAAUUGUCUUUCCCACUGUCCCAUGUGACUGUGAGGAAACUAUUUGAGUAGUUUUGAUGAAGACUUAAUGACUGAGGAGUCUUUUCCUACCCCAUUUCCAAAUAGCAAGAGUUUGGCAUAUAAAUACAAAAUGUCCUACAUGUUUUAAAGAAUUUGUCAAUCUUUAUAUCUUGAUUCUGAGCUCAGGGUUCACUACAACAUAUUUUCAAGGUCUUCAGAAAAACAAUGGCAAGAGGAUUUUUAAUGAAAAUUUUUUAGCAUGGCUUCGGGAACUGGGGUUAUAAGAGAGAACAUCAGCUAUCAAUAUUUAAUAAAAUGAGUGAGAACUGUUAGUCAAACUGCUCAAUCCUUGUUGCUUUUCAACAACCUCUUGCCAUAAAGUCACCAAUGCAGUUUAGCAGGGUGAUAAGAUAAAGCAUGUGUUCGGCUGUGGUCAAAUACCUUGAGAUACACCUUUCCCAAUUCACAGGGAAUUUUUAGUGUAAAUUUCAAAGAGAAUCAUUUUACCUACGAAGUUAAAAUAAAAAUAAAAAUAAAUUCCUACUCAGCUCACAUUAGUAGAAGCAUUUGCCUCACCUAGAAUGCUAUACAAUAUUCCAGAUUUAUUGUGACUGUAAACAACUCUGCUUGCUCUAUAGCUUUUCUGGACUCUAACAGUAAAACACAGUAUCUCUAUCUGGUUGGAAUUAUGUGUUAUAACAGUUUUAUUGUGGGGGGGUAAAGCUCUGAUAAAGAUGAAAUAGAGUUUUGCUUUUUUGUGUGACCUUGUCGUUUGAAAAAGCAUUGCACUCUAACGAGAUAUAAUUUAAAAGACCUCUGGGAGCAAAUUGAGUUUACUGAGAUAUUUCUAAGAGUAAUUACUUACUGUGAGUUGUCAGUAUUGCUCUGUUACAGUUCCUUUCCUAGCAAAUGUAGAUAUCUUGGACUGUGUAGAAUGGAUUAGAGCUCCUACCAUUAAUGUUUGAUGGGAGGCAGUAGUGAAAAAGAUGGAUGCUUAUAUAACUGACAUUUCCAGCAUUUAUGGCCAUAGACUAAAAUGCCAGGCGCAUAAUUUCAAGUAAAAUGGCAGGCCCAACUCAAUAAUAUUUAAUGAUGUAGUAGACCUUGGCUAGGAGAAUAGCUAACGGAAGUCAUUGCACUGCAUUUAUUGAAUUGUUAAAAUGAGUUGAAUAAUAAUUGUGUUUUGCAGGGGUUUUGUUUUAGUAAUAUAUUUCUGAGAUCUGAUAUUCUGAAAGUAAAUUAUUUAUCAUUCCAGUCAACAUAAAAUACAGGAAAGACUUCGAACUCCUUAACUGAUGGCAAGAUUUUUAGAUUGACUUUGUCCUAGCGUUUACAGCACAGAAAUAUAUUCAGUAGCUUAGGACACAGUUUGGAAGAUCAUGUGAAACUGAUUUCAAAAGGUAAUGAAAGAUAAAACUACCUCCUCAAAAAAACCUGUUUUAAUAUUUUGACUCUUUACGAAGUUGGCCCUUUUUGUCUAUCAUUGUACUUCUAGAAAUGACAAGAUUUAGAUCCUUGGGAGCUUGUUAUAUCAAGGAAUCUUCGUAUGCCCAGACUGAGAUACCACUGAUAAUGUCAAUUAACAGAAUAUUAACUGCUUCAGUACCAUUCUGUUAAUAUUUUAGAAAGCCUUAAAUAAGCUAGGGGGACUUGAACUGAUGGAGAAGGUAAAAUUAAUAGAGGCCUGUAGGUAUAUUGAUUUCAGGUCUUUGGGUGAAGGCUCCAGGGUUUAUUCAUGUGGAAGGCACAGAACGUGGGUGGACUGGAAGAAGAGGCGUGCACACCUAUCCCUGUGGGCCUCUAGGACCCCCAUCUACAAGUAAAUGCAUCCAGCUGGCUAUGUGAUCAUGCAGGCUUUUUGGUAAGCUUAGAAAAGAAAUUCUGCAUGUUCAGGUUUAAAAGCAACAACAAAAAAAGCAAACCACAUUCUUACUUUUUCAGGGAGACUUUUGAAAGCAUUUCAUUUCUAACAAAAUCUAAACAUUUUAUUUAGAAUAUUCUACCUAUUACAAAAAAAAAAAAAAAAGGAAGGGGGGGGGCAGAGGGGCUGGAAAGAAAUGAGGAACCUUGAGGAACCAUUUUAUCUCUGUUCCACCAUUACCCAGACUAUUUUUUUCCUUUUUUUUUUUUUUUUUUUUAAUAGAGGCUAUAUAAUUAUCUGAGGUAGCUAAGAAGUUUUUCUUCUCUGUAUCCCUAUUAGACCUCUUUACUAGACAUCUGAAAAGACUGAGUCCUGAAUAUCCAUGCUUAUUUCUUUCAGUGAAAGUAACAUUUUUUUUUUUCUUUCAAGAAUUCACCAAACCUGCCUGUCAUGGCCUUACAUAUAAAUUUUUUGAAACUGCAUUGUUGUCAACAGGCCUAUGUCAUAGCUCUUAACAGUACUUAGUAUGUCAUUCUGUUUUGUACAAGAGUAAAAUUGAAAUGGAGGAUAGCUCUACUUCACAUCUGAGAAGUGGACCAGGUUAAUGCAAAACUAAUGGAGAAUUCUGCUUUACUGCAGAACGUUUUGAAACAAUUCAAGCAUGGGAGGAACUGAAAAGCUGAUGUUAAUGGAUUUCAUGGGGUAGGGCUGCAAUAAGCUCCUGAGAAAUUGAGAGGUGGAGAUA
rnacentral:lncRNA from 1 species